ACAGAGUCAGGAGGACAUAUGGCGUAAGAAGAGCCCACCUCCGGAGCCCUGUAGUGUCACUUUGCCACAUCUUAUCUGUUAAAAUUUGUGUCAUGAAAGGCAUGCACUGUAGUUAUGAGAAGAAAGUGCGGAGUCAGGAACGGCUUUCAAGUUUUUGGCCCGAGUGUCUGGAAACAUCGUGGUGCCAUUUACUGAGAUGGAGUGACUGCGCAUCGCUUGCUGGUGGGGAGGAAUCAGAGAUGGCCUCAGGUCUCGUGAGCACGAGGACAAGCAAAUAACACCCACCUGCUCCAGCCCCGAAGCAAGGAGCUACCUUUAUACCUCCUCCUCAACCCUACUCAUCCCAGGGGCCAGGCAAGCCUCCCAAAGUACAUCUCAAAUCUGCCUGUUAGCCAGCAUCUCUCGCCACCUCUCUUGCCCCAGCCACCAUCAGCUCUCGUCCAGACCAGGAGUCAGCCAACUUCUGUACAGGUCCAGAUAGCAAAUAUUUUAGGCUUUGCGGGUCAUACAGCCUUCUCUGCACAUACUUAACUCUGCAGCCCUAGACAACAUGUAAAUAAGUGGGGGUCGCUGUGUUCCAAGAACGCUUUAUUUUUAGACACUGAAAUUAGAAUUUUUAUCAUUUUCUUGUGUCAUUGAGUCCACUUUUGAUUUUUUUUUUCAACCGUUUCAAAAUGUGAGCAACAAUUGUUAGCUCACAGCCUGCACAGAAACAGGCAGCAGGCCAGUUUCGAUGUCUGCCUGAUUCUGAGACUUGUGCUUUCUAUACUACUUUGUCUCCUCCCCUGUAGCAUUGGUGAGACUUAAGGGGAGAGAGGGGUUCAGGCCCAAGCACUUUGAAGAUGAAGAUCUGGCUGAACGGAGGAAGGGAAGUGAUUUCAGGCAAAGGUAUCCACACGAAUAACAGCUUAGAAAUGGGCAGGAGCCUGGUGCUG